UACAGAGGUCCCGAGCGUUGUUCGGAUUCACUGGGCGUAAAGGGGGCGUAGGUGGUGAGGUAAGUCGGAUGUGAAAGCUCGGAGCUCAACUCCGAAAUGGCAUUGGAAACUACCUUGCUAGAGGGUUGGAGGGGGGACUGGAAUGCUUGGUGUAGCAGUGAAAUGCGUAGAUAUCAAGCGGAACACCAGUGGCGAAGGCGAGUCCCUGGACAACUCCUGACACUGAGGCACGAAAGCUAGGGGAGCAAACAGG
rnacentral:rRNA from 1 species